rnacentral:rRNA from 1 species
AACAACUCUCAGCAACGGAUAUCUCGGCUCUUGCAUCGAUGAAAAAACGCAGCGAAAUGCGAUAAAUGGGUGUGAAUUGCAGAAUCCCGUGAACCAUCGAGUCUUUGAAACGCAAGUUGCGCCCGAGGCCAUCAGGCCAAGGCACGCCUGCCUGGGCAUUGCGA